rnacentral:rRNA from 1 species
GAUGAACGCUGGCGGCGUGCCUAAUACAUGCAAGUAGAACGCUGAAGGAGGAGCUUGCUCUUCUGGAUGAGUUGCGAACGGGUGAGUAACGCGUAGGUAACCUGCCUGGUAGCGGGGGAUAACUAUUGGAAACGAUAGCUAAUACCGCAUGACAACAGUUAUUGCAUGAUAACUGUUUAAAAGGGGCAACUGCUCCACUACCAGAUGGACCUGCGUUGUAUUAGCUAGUUGGUGAGGUAACGGCUCACCAAGGCGACGAUACAUAGCCGACCUGAGAGGGUGAUCGGCCACACUGGGACUGAGACACGGCCCAGACUCCUACGGGAGGGAGCAGUAGGGAAUCUUCGGCAAUGGACGGAAGUCUGACCGAGCAACGCCGCGUGAGUGAAGAAGGGUUUCGGAUCGUAAAGCUCUGUUGUAAGAGAAGAACGAGUGUGAGAGUGGAAAGUUCACACUGUGACGGUAUCUUACCAGAAAGGGACGGCUAACUACGUG